rnacentral:rRNA from 1 species
UACGAAGGGGGCUAGCGUUGCUCGGAAUUACUGGGCGUAAAGGGCGCGUAGGCGGCUCUGUUAGUCAGGCGUGAAAGCCCUGGGCUCAACCUGGGGACUGCGCUUGAUACGGCGGGGCUUGAGGGCAGGAGAGGCUCGCGGAAUUCCCAGUGUAGAGGUGAAAUUCGUAGAUAUUGGGAAGAACACCAGUGGCGAAGGCGGCUCACUGGCCCGGUACUGACGCUGAGGCGCGAAAGCGUGGGGAGCAAACAGG